rnacentral:rRNA from 1 species
CGGCACGGGUGAGUAACACGUAUGCAACCUGCCUGCCACAGCCGGAUAAUCGGGAGAAAUUCCGUCUAAUACGGCAUAAUGCAUCGACGGGACAUCCUGUUGGUGCCAAAGGUUGAUUCCGGUGGCGGAUGGGCAUGCGUCGCAUUAGUUAGUUGGCGGUGUAACGGACCACCAAGACGACGAUGCGUAGGGGUUCUGAGAGGAAGGUCCCCCACACUGGUACUGAGACACGGACCAGACUCCUACGGAAGGCAGCAG